rnacentral:tRNA from 1 species
GUGGGUAUAGCUCAGUGGUAGAGCACAUGCUUAGCGUGCAUGAGGUCCUGGGUUCAAUCCCCAGUGCCUCUG